CUACGGGCGGCAGCAGUGAGGAAUAUUGCACAAUGGGGGGUACCCUGAUGCAGCAACGCCGCGUGGAGGAUGACGCAUUUCGGUGUGUAAACUCCUUUUAUAUGUCAAGAAAAUGACGGUAGCAUAUGAAUAAGCACCGGCUAACUCCGUGCCAGCAGCCGCGGUAAUACGGAGGGUGCAAGCGUUACUCGGAAUCACUGGGCGUAAAGGACGCGUAGGCGGGUUGGAAAGUCAGGUGUGAAAUCCUACAGCUUAACUGUAGAACUGCACUUGAAACUUCUAAUCUAGAGUAUGGGAGGGGGAGAUGGAAUUAGCGGUGUAGGGGUAAAAUCCGUAGAUAUCACUAGGAAUACCUAAAGCGAAGGCGAUCUCCUGGAACAUUACUGACGCUAAGGCGUGAAAGCGUGGGGAGCAAACAGGAUUAGAUACCCUCGUAGUC
rnacentral:rRNA from 1 species